rnacentral:rRNA from 1 species
CCGGUAGUUGAAAUGGCUUUCCCUCCAGAGUGGAUCCUGAGUACGGCGGAACACGUGAAAUUCCGUCGGAAUCCGGGAGGACCAUCUCCCAAGGCUAAAUACUCCCUAGUGACCGAUAGUGAACCAGUACCGUGAGGGAAAGGUGAAAAGCACCCCGGAAGGGGAGUGAAACAGUUCCUGAAACCGUGUGCCUACAAGUAGUUAGAGCCCGUUAAUGGGUGAUAGCGUGCCUUUUGUAGAAUGAACCGGCGAGUUACGAUUUGUUGCAAGGUUAAGCGGAAAAAGCGGAGCCGUAGCGAAAGCGAGUCUGAAUAGGGCGCAUAAGUAACAGGUCGUAGACCCGAAACCAGGUGAUCUACCCAUGUCCAGGAUGAAGGUAAGGUAAUACUUACUGGAGGUCCGAACCCACGCACGUUGAAAAGUGCGGGGAUGAGGUGUGGGUAGCGGAGAAAUUCCAAUCGAACUUGGAGAUAGCUGGUUCUCUCCGAAAUAGCUUUAGGGCUAGCCUCGAGGUAAAGAGUCAUGGAGGUAGAGCACUGUUUGGACUAGGGGCCCUUCUCGGGUUACCGAAUUCAGAUAAACUCCGAAUGCCAUGUACUUAUACUCGGGAGUCAGACUGCGAGUGAUAAGAUCCGUAGUCGAAAGGGAAACAGCCCAGACCACCAGUUAAGGUCCCCAAAUAUAUGUUAAG